UGAUGCUAUAUAGACAAACAGAUGACU
rnacentral:piRNA from 1 species